rnacentral:tRNA from 1 species
GCCUUAAAAGCUAAAACAGAAGCGUUGGUCUUGUAAUCCAAAAAUUGAAAUCCCUUUCUUAAGGCU